rnacentral:rRNA from 1 species
UACGGAAGGCAGCAGGGGGAAUAUUGCACAAUGGGCGCAAGCCUGAUGCAGCCAUGCCGCGUGUAUGAAAAAGGCCUUCGGGUUGUAAAGUACUUUCAGUCGUGAGGAAGGUGUUAAGGUUAAUAACCUUAGCAAUUGACGUUAGCGACAGAAGAAGCACCGGCUAACUCCGUGCCAGCAGCCGCGGUAAUACGGAGGGUGCGAGCGUUAAUCGGAAUUACUGGGCGUAAAGGGCACGCAGGCGGUUAAUUAAGUUGGAUGUGAAUCCCCGGGCUUAACCUGGGAAUGGCAUUCAAGACUGGUUAGCUAGAGUCUUGUAGAGGGGGUAGAAUUCCAUGUGUAGCGGUGAAAUGCGUAGAGAUGUGGAGGAAUACCGGUGGCGAAGGCGGCCCCUGGACAAAGACUGACGCUCAUGUGCGAAAGCGUGGGGAGCAAACGAGGGAUUAGAUACC